GACGAACGCUGGCGGCGUGCUUAACACAUGCAAGUCGAACGGAAAGGCCCUGCUUUUGUGGGGUGCUCGAGUGGCGAACGGGUGAGUAACACGUGAGUAACCUGCCCUUGACUUUGGGAUAACUUCAGGAAACUGGGGCUAAUACCGGAUAGGAGCUCCUGCUGCAUGGUGGUGGUUGGACAGUUUCGGCGGUUGCCGAUGGACUCGCGGCUUAUCAGCUUGUUGGUUGGGUAGUGGCUUACCAACGCUUUGACGGGUACCCGGCCUGAAACGGUGACCGGCCACCUCGAUACUGAGAUCCGGCCCAGACUCCUUCGGCAGGCAGCAGUGAGGAAUAUUCCACCACGGUCGUAAGCCUUAUGCAGCAACGCCGCCUGCGGGAUGACGGCCUUCGGGUUGUAACCCGCUUUCGACUGUGACGAAGCCUGAGUGGCGGUAAUGGGUAAAGAAGCACCGGCUAACUACGUU
rnacentral:rRNA from 1 species